CUGUGGGGAAAGGCGGAAGGAGUUGGGACUGCUCAGUUUGGAGAAGAGGAGACUCAGGGGGGAUCUCGCCAAUGUCUAUAAAUACGUGAAGGGAGGGUGCAAAGAGGAUGGAGCCAGGCUCUUUUCAGUGGUGCCCGGUGACAGGACAAGAGGCACAAGCUGGUACACAGGAGGUUCCUUCUGAACACCAGGAAGCAAUUCUGUGCCGUGCUGGUGAUGGAGCACUGGAGUAGGUUUCCCAGAGAGGUUGUGGAGUCUCCAUCCUUGGAGACCUUCAAAAGCCGCCCGAAUGUGGUCUUGAGCAACCUGCUCUGGGUGUCCCUGCUUGAGCAAGGGGGCAGACCAGAUGACUUCCAGAGGUCCCUGCCAGCCUAAACCAUUCUGGGAUUUUGUGAAUUUUCCAGGCCUGUUUAAUUGUUCUCAUCACUGGUUAGGACUGAGCUGUCUUGUCUGAUCCCAGGCUCAUGUGCUAGCACAACACACCAAGCACAGCCUCAAGGACUGGUAUGGGACUGACCAGCCUGAAUAGUUACUCAUGUGCUUCCCAUGAGGCUUUGGCUAGUGCCAGCCCACCUUCUUCCUGGUAGGACCAAGUUCUUGCAGGACCGCCAGGGCCAGAAGCUGCUGCUGGUAGACAACAGGAACAAAAGUGCCUUCUUCAGGGAAAGACAAGAGUGCAUCCACGUGGAUUUGAACUGCGAAGGGCACCUGAUCAGCAAAGAAAGGUUAAAGAGAGUAGGAUGUGGUGAGAAGAACAACCUCCGGGGCAACCAGCGUGCUGCAGACACAGGGUCUGAAGUUNNNNNNNNNNNNNNNNNNNNGGAGCAUAAAAGACUAAGCCCUGCUCAGAGUAUGUGUAUAAAUAGCUCAAGACAAGCACAGUGCUACGCUGGUGCCACUAUUUGGCCCCAAACUGUCCAGCUUCUGGAUUGCUCCAAGUGCAGGUGGAGCAGAUGCACAAUGUUCUGCAUUUGUCCACAUGGAGAUCUCCCACCCUGAGGAACUCAGACACGUUUUGCCAAGAGAAGCAAACAUCUUUUCUCUUUGUACUGCAUUUCCCUCUAUCUGCCCU
rnacentral:lncRNA from 1 species